rnacentral:rRNA from 1 species
GAUGAACGCUGGCGGCGUGCCUAAUACAUGCAAGUCGAGCGAACAGACGAGGAGCUUGCUCCUCUGACGUUAGCGGCGGACGGGUGAGUAACACGUGGAUAACCUACCUAUAAGACUGGGAUAACUUCGGGAAACCGGAGCUAAUACCGGAUAAUAUAUUGAACCGCAUGGUUCAAUAGUGAAAGACGGUUUUGCUGUCACUUAUAGAUGGAUCCGCGCCGCAUUAGCUAGUUGGUAAGGUAACGGCUUACCAAGGCGACGAUGCGUAGCCGACCUGAGAGGGUGAUCGGCCACACUGGAACUUGACCACGGUCCAGACUCCUACGGGAGGCAGCAGUAGGGAAUCUUCCGCAAUGGGCGAAAGCCUGACGGAGCAACGCCGCGUGAGUGAUGAAGGUCUUCGGAUCGUAAAACUCUGUUAUUAGGGAAGAACAAAUGUGUAAGUAACUAUGCCCGUCUUGACGGUACCUAAUCAGAAAGCCACGGCUAACUACGUG